rnacentral:rRNA from 1 species
GGUUAAGCGACUAAGCGUACACGGUGGAUGCCCUGGCAGUCAGAGGCGAUGAAGGACGUGCUAAUCUGCGAUAAGCGUCGGUAAGGUGAUAUGAACCGUUAUAACCGGCGAUUUCCGAAUGGGGAAACCCAGUGUGUUUCGACACACUAUCAUUAACUGAAUCCAUAGGUUAAUGAGGCGAACCGGGGGAACUGAAACAUCUAAGUACCCCGAGGAAAAGAAAUCAACCGAGAUUCCCCCAGUAGCGGCGAGCGAACGGGGAGCAGCCCAGAGCCUGAAUCAGUGUGUGUGUUAGUGGAAGCGUCUGGAAAGGCGCGCGAUACAGGGUGACAGCCCCGUACACAAAAAUGCACAUGCUGUGAGCUCGAUGAGUAGGGCGGGACACGUGGUAUCCUGUCUGAAUAUGGGGGGACCAUCCUCCAAGGCUAAAUACUCCUGACUGACCGAUAGUGAACCAGUACCGUGAGGGAAAGGCGAAAAGAACCCCGGCGAGGGGAGUGAAAAAGAACCUGAAACCGUGUACGUACAAGCAGUGGGAGCACGCUUAGGCGUGUGACUGCGUACCUUUUGUAUAAUGGGUCAGCGACUUAUAUUCUGUAGCAAGGUUAACCGAAUAGGGGAGCCGAAGGGAAACCGAGUCUUAACUGGGCGUUAAGUUGCAGGGUAUAGACCCGAAACCCGGUGAUCUAGCCAUGGGCAGGUUGAAGGUUGGGUAACACUAACUGGAGGACCGAACCGACUAAUGUUGAAAAAUUAGCGGAUGACUUGUGGCUGGGGGUGAAAGGCCAAUCAAACCGGGAGAUAGCUGGUUCUCCCCGAAAGCUAUUUAGGUAGCGCCUCGUGAAUUCAUCUCCGGGGGUAGAGCACUGUUUCGGCAAGGGGGUCAUCCCGACUUACCAACCCGAUGCAAACUGCGAAUACCGGAGAAUGUUAUCACGGGAGACACACGGCGGGUGCUAACGUCCGUCGUGAAGAGGGAAACAACCCAGACCGCCAGCUAAGGUCCCAAAGUCAUGGUUAAGUGGGAAACGAUGUGGGAAGGCCCAGACAGCCAGGAUGUUGGCUUAGAAGCAGCCAUCAUUUAAAGAAAGCGUAAUAGCUCACUGGUCGAGUCGGUCUGCGCGGAAGAUGUAACGGGGCUAAACCAUGCACCGAAGCUGCGGCAGCGACGCUUAUGCGUUGUUGGGUAGGGGAGCGUUCUGUAAGCCUGUGAAGGUGUGCUGUGAGGCAUGCUGGAGGUAUCAGAAGUGCGAAUGCUGACAUAAGUAACGAUAAAGCGGGUGAAAAGCCCGCUCGCCGGAAGACCAAGGGUUCCUGUCCAACGUUAAUCGGGGCAGGGUGAGUCGACCCCUAAGGCGAGGCCGAAAGGCGUAGUCGAUGGGAAACAGGUUAAUAUUCCUGUACUUGGUGUUACUGCGAAGGGGGGACGGAGAAGGCUAUGUUGGCCGGGCGACGGUUGUCCCGGUUUAAGCGUGUAGGCUGGUUUUCCAGGCAAAUCCGGAAAAUCAAGGCUGAGGCGUGAUGACGAGGCACUACGGUGCUGAAGCAACAAAUGCCCUGCUUCCAGGAAAAGCCUCUAAGCAUCAGGUAACAUCAAAUCGUACCCCAAACCGACACAGGUGGUCAGGUAGAGAAUACCAAGGCGCUUGAGAGAACUCGGGUGAAGGAACUAGGCAAAAUGGUGCCGUAACUUCGGGAGAAGGCACGCUGAUAUGUAGGUGAAGCGACUUGCUCGUGGAGCUGAAAUCAGUCGAAGAUACCAGCUGGCUGCAACUGUUUAUUAAAAACACAGCACUGUGCAAACACGAAAGUGGACGUAUACGGUGUGACGCCUGCCCGGUGCCGGAAGGUUAAUUGAUGGGGUUAGCGCAAGCGAAGCUCUUGAUCGAAGCCCCGGUAAACGGCGGCCGUAACUAUAACGGUCCUAAGGUAGCGAAAUUCCUUGUCGGGUAAGUUCCGACCUGCACGAAUGGCGUAAUGAUGGCCAGGCUGUCUCCACCCGAGACUCAGUGAAAUUGAACUCGCUGUGAAGAUGCAGUGUACCCGCGGCAAGACGGAAAGACCCCGUGAACCUUUACUAUAGCUUGACACUGAACAUUGAGCCUUGAUGUGUAGGAUAGGUGGGAGGCUUUGAAGUGUGGACGCCAGUCUGCAUGGAGCCG